CUCUCGUCUCGCAUAACGCCCUCUCGGUAAGGGUUUCCGCCCAAUCGAGCAGCCGCCGUCGCCGGUCACCGCGAGGCCCUCCGCCGUCCCGUGAGCCCGAGCUCGAGCAGCCCGAGCCAAAGCGCUCGACGUGAGCGCGCCCGAGCUGCAGCUCGUCCCGGGAAGGUGAGCACCCGCCCAGCUCAGCUCCUCCCCCUUUCUCAAUCUGCCUCGGGAAGGACGAGAUUCGCAAGAGCCGUCUCCCAAAACCUCUCUCUCCUUCGGCGCGGCUAGGGUUUCGAAGAGGCCGGCGAUGGGCGCGGACGAGGAGGAGCGCCAGUCGCCCUCGCGGAAGCGCGAGCGCGGGGAGGAGCCGGCCGACGGCGCCGCCGAGAAGCGCCCGCGCGCGGCGGACGAGUCGGAGGGCGCGUCGCUGCUCGGGCUCGCCAACUACGCGGACGAGGAGGAGGAGGAGCGCGGGGCCCCGAGGGGGCACGCGAACGGCCGGCCACGGGAGGAGGAGGAGGAGGAGGGGGAAGACGAGGAGGACGAGGAGGAGGAGGACGAGAGGAGGGCUCCGGAGAGGCGGCCCAGGCAGGUGGAGCUGCGCCGGGACUGCCCCUACCUCGACACCGUCAACCGACAGGUCCUUGAUUUUGACUUUGAGAAGUUCUGUUCAAUCUCCUUAUCGAAUUUGAAUGUAUAUGCAUGCCUAGUUUGUGGAAAGUAUUACCAAGGAAGAGGCUUGAAAUCGCAUGCAUAUACCCACAGUCUUGAGGCAGGCCACCAUGUCUUCAUUAAUCUCCAGACUGAGAAAGUUUACUGUCUUCCUGAUGGAUAUGAGAUAAAUGAUCCAUCACUAGAAGAUAUUCGACAUGUUCUCAAUCCAAGGUUUGCAAGAGAGCAGGUUAAAAUUCUUGACAAGAACAAGCAAUGGUCAAGAGCUCUGGAUGGCUCCAAUUAUUUACCUGGAAUGGUUGGUCUUAACAACAUUAAGGAGACUGAUUUUGUGAACGUCACAAUACAAUCACUGAUGAGGAUUACCCCUUUGAGAAAUUUCUUUCUCAUACCUGAAAAUUAUCAGCAUAGCAAAUCCCCACUGGUUCAUCGGUUUGGAGAACUAACUCGGAAGAUUUGGCAUGCUAGGAACUUCAAGGGCCAAGUUAGUCCACAUGAGUUCCUUCAAGCAGUUAUGAAGGCUAGUGAGAAGAAGUUUCAGAUUGGUGUACAGUCUGAUCCAGUGGAGUUUAUGUCAUGGCUCUUGAACACGUUGCAUGCGAAGCUAAGAAGUUCAAAGAAGAAAAACAGAAGCAUCAUAUAUGAUUGCUUUCAGGGAGAACUUGAAGUUGUCAAGGAAAUUCACAGGAAGCAUUUAGUGGAUGAUGAGCAGAAUGGUGAGGCAGGUUCACAGGUUGAAACAACAAGUGACGGUAUGGUCACUCAAACGUCUAGGGUCCCGUUCUUGAUGCUCGGUCUUGACCUGCCACCGCCACCUCUUUUCAAAGAUGCCAUGGAGAAAAACAUUAUUCCACAGGUACCACUGUUCAAUAUACUGAAGAAGUUCGAUGGUGAGACAGUUACAGAGGUGGUACGGCCAUCUAUUGCCCGGAUGAGGUACCGAGUCAUCAGACUUCCAAAGUAUAUGAUCCUUCACAUGCGACGGUUCACCAAAAACAACUUCUUUGUGGAGAAAAACCCAACUCUAGUAAAUUUCCCCGUGAAGAACUUGGAACUGAAGGACUACAUCCCAUUGCCCAAGCCAAAAGAGAACGAGAAGCUGCGCUCGAAGUAUGAUCUCAUAGCCAACAUCGUACACGACGGCAAGCCGGGUGAAGGAUGCUACAGAGUAUUCGUGCAGCGGAAAUCAGAGGAGGCGUGGUACGAGAUGCAGGAUCUCCAUGUCACCGAGACCCUUCCGCAGAUGGUGGCUCUCUCUGAAGCCUACAUGCAGAUAUACGAGCAGCACGAGUGAGCGACGGGGGACGACGGAUGGGGGCCAUCAUGUAGAUUUCAGUGCCCCUGUUUUUUUGGCGCUCGACACAGAUGAUGUUUUACAAGCUAAUUUAUAUGCCUGAGUCAAAUUUUUGAGGGCUUGAGUGUUGUAUGUCUGAAUUUAUUUCCUUGAGAAGUAGAAGAGUCUGAGGAACUCCGAUGCACUGUUAGUUUCUUGACGCCGCCAUGGAGAGAUCCCAAGCAGCUGUAAGAUGUAAAAAACGUACCCGCACUCUUCGAGAGCUCGGUGAAUUUUCCGAGCAUUGGUUUUUACCAGGAAUGCGCCGUUCCAUCAUGCAUAUUUGUUAUGAAUCUGUAUGUUGCUACCAAGCAGGAGUGAUAGUGGACUUGUUCCCAAGGGUUCAAGAUGCAUUUGCAUAUAUUAGUGUAUGAUCCUGAUGGUUGUUACUCACCAUCAGUUUCAGCUGCAGAGACAGCAAGUUCUUAUCAAGUUACUAACUUACCAUUUGCA
rnacentral:rRNA from 1 species